UACGUAGGGGGCAAGCGUUGUUCGGAUUUACUGGGCGUAAAGGGCGCGUAGGCGGCAAUUCAAGUCAUCUGUGAAAUCUCCGGGCUUAACUCGGAACGGUCAGAUGAUACUGCUUUGCUAGAGUGCAGAAGGGGCAAUCGGAAUUCCUGGUGUAGCGGUGAAAUGCGUAGAUAUCAAGAGGAACACCGGUGGCGAAGGCGGCAUCCUGGACCGGCAUUGACGCUGAGGAGCGAAAGCUAGGGGAGCAAACGGG
rnacentral:rRNA from 1 species